rnacentral:rRNA from 1 species
UACGUAGGGGGCAAGCGUUGUCCGGAAUCAUUGGGCGUAAAGAGCGUGUAGGCGGCUCGAUAAGUCUGCUGUGAAAGUCCAGGGCUCAACCCUGGAAGGCCGGUGGAAACUGUCGGGCUAGAGUCCGGAAGAGGCGAGUGGAAUUCCCGGUGUAGCGGUGAAAUGCGCAGAUAUCGGGAAGAAUACCGGUGGCGAAGGCGUUCUGCUGGGCCGUUGCUGACGCUGAGGCGCGACAGCGUGGGGAGCAAACAGG